AACUGCUGUUGUCCCUACUACAGGUUUAUGUUUUAGGAAAUUCCUAAAAACGAUGGGACAUUUCAUGACUCUCAAAAACCUAGUGGAAGUCAACAGCCUUGACUCGAGCAUCCUUCUCACAGAUCACUGCAGAACUGGAGAAGUCUUGGGAAGCUUAAACUCCACCUCAAGCCACUUACAUGGUAUUGCAUUGUUUACUAAAGCUCAGGUCAGGGUCCCACAUGGGAACACUUCACAGACGUUAAACAAUCAGUGCAAGAGAGAAUAUCAAUGAGCCAGAAAGCAGCAGCAGGCUUGAAAACCCAACCCUCUGCACUGGUCUGAUCAAAAGUGACAGGCUUGCUUAAGGUAAAACCCAAGAGGCAUGGCUACUCGGUUAAUUUUUACCUAGGCACAAUUUUACUCCUCUGGAAGCAGAACAAUGUGUCCUGCACUUGCUGGAAAUCGUGGUGGUAUGUGUCAACUGCUCCUCACCCAAGAAUGAUCAGCUCACCAUCACAGGUAGCUGUGAAGAUGGUGGGAAAUACAAGCUGUCCUGCUGGCAUGUGUUGCAGAUUAAGUAUUCCAAAAGCAUAAGGAAACAUUCCUGCCUUUCCAUAACACCACCCAAGAGGAGCAAAGCAGAACGAGCCAAAGGAUUGCCUUAUGAUAUUGGGUGUUCUUGUUCUCUGGAAAGAAGGGAUGAAGUCCAGUUAGAAAGCUGAACUACACCAUGUCACCUGGCAGCAGAGGUAAGCGAGGCCCACAACCCCUUCAGGACAGAAUUCUGGACGUGGAGACUGGCACAUAUGCUGGACAGAAGAAUCAUUUUCUGUGAACUGUCAAUUAAACGGAUCAUGCUCAUCAAAGACUGAGUCCUACACAGUGAUUAGAGCUUCACUCCAGUAAAUUAAUGAAGUGCGUGUGCAGUGCUAAGCACCCAAAGUCUCGCUGACUUCAAUGGGACUAAACUUAAUUGCUCGCUGGAUUAUGAUAGUGUUGUCAGAUCAGAAGGAUGGAAGGCAUUGAAUAAAUCCAUGUUUGCAGAGGUGAAAACAGUGAAGAGGAAAUGGCACCCCUGCUUUUGGCCAUACAUUUUAGCUUUUUUGCUGGCUUCUGAUGGAAAUUGAACUCUUGACAUGAUAGUGGCUUGAGAACCAACCCUCCGUUCAAAGAAAUACUUCCUUAGAUUUCUUCAUUAUCUUCUCUUUAAUCUUCUUUUUCGCAGGACAGUGAGUAAAUUUUCAUGUAUAGCACACAGUAUACAGGCAUGUGUCUCUUCCUUCCUUUCUGCCCAUGAAUGAGGACGGUGAGAUCUCCAAGGACAGACCUUCUGAUGAUUUUGCCAGUGGUCGUCCAAGCGCUUGGCAUCCAGCUCACUCUGUUUCUCCUGUUGCCUCAGCAGCAGCUUCUUUAAGACUCUCAGUCGAAUCUCCUGCAACCUGCAAGGAAAAGAAAGGCCAGCUGAAAGGAUAAAGGGAUCUAUCCUGAAAAGAAAUGCAAUAUGGAAGAACAUUUGUCACAUUCAUUGAAAAGGAGAAAACAAAUCAGAAAUGCAACACUAAGUUAAAGCUGAGAUGAAAACAGAGGACCACAUACUGAGAUCAGCUGCCUUCAAAGACCUCACGUGAGCCCUGUGAGCUGUGAUGUGGAACUUGGGGAGCCAACUGUAUGGUUACCAACUCCAGCAAAGCUUGAAGAGAGAUAAGCCUUAACCUCAUGUGACAGAUAGUUUACUGCCAAGCGGUCUCUGUGUAUCAGUGUUGCUUCGUCCAGAUGGAUUUGUUUCACUCAGCACAGAUCCUGCUUCAGAUCCUGCCUCUUCCAUGUCCUUGACUUGUAUUUGCUGACUUUGCUGAAAUAAACGAGCAUUUACUCCUGAUAACCUUGCAGAAGCAAUACAAAUACUGCAAAGGCAGCUGGAAAAUAUUCUAUCUUCUGUAUCAGCAACACUGUCAAUCAGUGCAGGUUGAAAGAGAGGGGAUGUAUUUCCCAUCUUUUGUUAAUUGCAAGAUACUUUGCAAAUACAUGGUGCUGAAAUAUAAUUUUAAAGCAGCUAAGGUGUCAAUUAAAUUCCUGUUACAGAAUAACAGGCAAAAUGGAAGAAGCCACUGAGGUUUGCAUGUGCUGGGGACAGCUUGAACUGUUGAAAUUAAGAAAAAAAAUAACUUUCCACAGUUAUUAAUUUAUUGUAGAAAUGAAAAGAGUAUGCUUUUGAAACUGAACAGAAACACGUGAAAUAUUUAGUUAUCACUCAAACAUCCUUGAUUAUUGUCUGGCAAAUGGUAUAACUAAAUUCACAACAGUAUCAGAGAACUUCUAUGAAAAAUCCAUGGUCUAAAGUUAGCUAGGAAAGAAAAAAAAUCUGAAAACAACUAGUUAGGCUGCUGCCUGCAGUCUUGAAUACAGCUCUAAGAGGAAUCCUAAAGAUGCAUGGUGUGGCAAAACACAUAAAUGGUUGCUUAAAUAUUUGCUGAAUCAGAAAUGCAAAUUGCAAUGCCAGGAGAAAGAUCAUCUAAGAAGCCCCUGAACUAAAACUGUGGUGCCCUGGUUCAAGCCCUAUGCUCUCUUAAAUGUGCAGCAAAAGCAAUCUAACCAGCUGCAACUUCAUGAGACUACAAGGAAACAGCUACCACUGAAGUAGCACACAUGAGCCACUGAAGUCUUUGUAACUUGUCUGAUCUAUAAGAGAUUGAAAUAACUCUCUCCACUUUGCCGGCAACCCGUUGCAGAGCAGAUAGCACAAGGAUGAAGGAAUGUGCAACAUCCACCCUAUAAGAAACAGAUGGGCAACCAUACUCCACAACAGCUGCAAUCUCUUAAUUUCAAGGGAAAUGUAAGUAGGAGCAAAUUGCAGUCAUCUCCACUUCAGUGUGUAAGAGUUUUUGUUGUUUUUGUUUGCAUGUUUGUGUUAAAUUAUCCAACCAUGGAACACUUACAAAGCAAGCUGCUGAAGAGCCUCCAGACGCUGCUGAGCCCUCCCUCUCCAUCUUCGGUCAAUCAAUGGAGGCACUGGAUCUUUGCUGUCCAAGCACAGACUGUAGCCCGGGAAAUGGAUCAAGCUACUAAACAUGCUUGUGAAAAUUGGUACCUUUACCUAGCGUUUGUGUGGACACAAAGAAGGAGAAUCAGUGAUUUAGUGAUUUCAAAUAGCAUCAAAGAGAUCAGACUUUCAGCUGAUGGUGGUAAGUAUAUGUAUGUGAGCAGCCCAUAGAAAAGCCUGGUGUUAUUUACAGGACAUUUGGGAUGAGGAAAGAAGAAGGCAUACAUAUGCUAAUGAUGUCAGCUGGUUAGAUGGUACUUCUCAAGAUGUGGAGCAUACCAGACUAGCAGCAGAUGCACAGAUAUGUCUUGUGGCUGUUUUCCAGCGUCUAAACUUAUACUUAAUAUCUAAGGGUCUAACAGUUCAUUACAUAAAGAAGUUAGUGUGCAUUAACAGUGAGUAUGCAGUAAUGUGAACUUCUAACACAUUAUCCCACGUAACUCUCUCCCAUUUCAUGUGCUCUAGAAGUGAAGUAACAUAUUCCACUUACAGAGUAAAGUUACUUUAUUUUAUACUAUAACAAUUUCAGCAUGUGCUAAAAAUAUCUCAAUGGGUGUUAGCGCACAAAAAUGAUCACAUUUUAAAAAUCCACACCCUUCCUUCUGGAGCACUGAUUUCCCUGGAUAGACAUGUCUUAAAUCUCAAAAUUUAUGGUUGCCCAUAAAUCGUUGGAAUUGUGUCUCUGCUAUAAGUGAUGUAGCUGUACUGGCUUGAGUUUCCGUAAAGCCUGAAAUCAGUUUUGAAUUGUGCAUUGACUCUUUCAUUUCAGGGGGUGCUAACUCAAAUGCAUAUAGGAUUAUAGUGACAUUUCAAGCACAGUAACUCAUUGGAGUUAGAGUGUCAGAUUAUGAAGACCUAGGCAAACUACUAUGAGUAACUGCUCACUGUGCGUGAGACUGCACUUUCAUUAUACUUCUUUUGAAAGGGAAUUAAACUUCUAAGAUUUUGGAAGAGCUUAUAAGUUAGUAUUAUUUCAUCCUCUGUCCGCCUCAUUUUGUGAUGCUAUAGACCAAGAAUUCAAAGUCAUAUUGUUUUGUAUUGCAGAUUAUGCAAUUGUUGAUUCAUAUGCUUAAAACAUGUUCUAUACAAAUCAAA